UAGGGAAUCUUGCGCAAUGGGCGAAAGCCUGACGCAGCCAUGCCGCGUGAAUGAUGAAGGUCUUAGGAUUGUAAAAUUCUUUCACCGGGGACGAUAAUGACGGUACCCGGAGAAGAAGCUCCGGCUAACUUCGUGCCAGCAGCCGCGGUAAUACGAAGGGGGCUAGCGUUGCUCGGAAUUACUGGGCGUAAAGGGCGCGUAGGCGGAUGUUUAAGUUGGGGGUGAAAGCCCGGGGCUCAACCUCGGAAUAGCCUUCAAUACUGGGCAUCUUGAGUACGGGAGAGGUGAGUGGAACUCCGAGUGUAGAGGUGAAAUUCGUAGAUAUUCGGAAGAACACCAGUGGCGAAGGCGACUCACUGGCCCGUUACUGACGCUGAGGCGCGAAAGCGUGGGGAGCAAA
rnacentral:rRNA from 1 species